rnacentral:rRNA from 1 species
CACCGCCCGUCACACCAUGGGAGCGGGUUCUGCCAGAAGUAGUUAGCCUAACCGCAAGGAGGCAGCUGACCACGGUGGGAUCAGCGACUGGGGUG